rnacentral:rRNA from 1 species
AGCGAACGUUAGCGGCGGGCUUAACACAUGCAAGUCGAGCGAGAAAGGGGCUUCGGCCCUGAGUACAGCGGCGGACGGGUGAAUAACACGUAGGUAACCUUCCUUCCAGCGGGGGACAACGGUCCGAAAGGACCGCUAAUACCGCAUACGUUCCCUGGGACCCUGGUCCCGGGGAGGAAAGCUCCGCAAGGGGCACUGGAUGAGGGGCCUGCGUAGCAUCAGCUAGUUGGUGGGGUAAUGGCCUACCAAGGCUAAGACGCUUAGCUGGUCUGAGAGGAUGAUCAGCCACACUGGGACUGAGACACGGCCCAGACUCCUACGGGAGGCAGCAGUGGGGAAUAUUGGACAAUGGGCGCAAGCCUGAUCCAGCCACGCCGCGUGAGUGAUGAAGGCCUUCGGGUCGUAAGACGUCUGUGGGGAGGGACGGAAUGGCGCCGUGAAGAGCGGCGAGUGACGGUACCGUCCUUACGCAAGCACCGGCUAACUUCGUGCCAGCAGCCGGUAAACGUCUGUAC